GAUGAACGCUGGCGGCGUGCUUAACACAUGCAAGUCGAACGAGAAGUGGAGACGGAAACCUUCGGGCGGAAGACUUUACUUCGAGUGGCGGACGGGUGAGUAACGCGUGGGUAACCUGCCUCAUACAGGGGGAUAACAGUUGGAAACGACUGUUAAUACCGCAUAAGACCACAGCACCGCAUGGUGCGGGGGUAAAAACUCCAGUGGUAUGAGAUGGACCCGCGUUCGAUUAGCCAGUUGGCGGGGUAACGGCCCACCAAAGCGACGAUCGAUAGCCGAUCUGAGAGGAUGACCGGCCACAUUGGGACUGAGACACGGCCCAAACUCCUACGGGAGGCAGCAGUGGGGAAUAUUGCACAAUGGGGGAAACCCUGAUGCAGCGACGCCGCGUGAGUGAAGAAGUAUUUCGGUAUGUAAAGCUCUAUCAGCAGGGAAGAAAAUGACAGUACCUGAGUAAGAAGCCCCGGCUAACUACGUG
rnacentral:rRNA from 1 species